rnacentral:misc_RNA from 2 species
CCUCCUUAUACGAUUUAGAACUUAUUUGUUCGUAGUGUCCACACAGAUGAUUGUUAGUUAGUUUUACCCUCUGGGUUAACUAAUUAAUAUGCUCUUUAAAAAUUUGGAAAAGCUGAUAAUAAAAUUCGUAUGAAUAACAUUGUUAUUUGUACAGAGUUUUCAAAAGUAAAAAAGAAUGAUAGCAGUAUCAUUCAGUGCCAAUUUAAUCCUCGGAUUAAUUGGUAUCUACUUUAGUAUUCAAUAUUAACUUCUGGCGAAGUUAAACUGUCACGAAACAAAGACCCGUUUGGGUUGUAUGGUUAAGUGACUAAGCGUACACGGUGGAUGC